UAAAUACAUAUACAUUUUUUCUAAAUUAAACUUAUUGCUAUAAACAUUUCAAAUUUGAGGUCAGGGUCGUAGCAACGUCUACCGCACAUUUAGAAACAGGCGAGUCUGUCCCUUUGAACUGUGACCCAUCGCCGAUACUUCCGCCCGUCUUUCCUGAUUUGUUAAUCAGAGUUGAGUGAACUGAAGUUCAGCCAAUCGUAAGACGAAUCAUCUCCUGGGCGUGUCUCCUGUUGCUUUCGCCAUUUCUUGCGUUCGUUCGCUUCUUUGCUGUGUGGUGGUCCGGGGGGAAAUGCUCGAUUACGUUCUUAUUUCAAACAAACUCUGAAGAGUGACGGUUCUACUGAGAAGAACAGUCGUGGAGUUUAUCAGACUGACGGGAAGCUGAAGACAUGCUAUUGUUGGAAGAAGGCCUGGCUUCCUGUGCUGUUGUUUGGCUAGGCAGGGGCUCCUGUAUUCUGGGCUGUGCUGUGUACAACAGGGCUCUUGUUCCAUGUCCCCUCGUGACCGCACGGCCUCAUUUGUCUCCGUCAACACAUUAACACAUCAGAAAAGCCCCCUGCUGCUCUAAAAUGCUGGAGAAAGCGUUCCUUCCAUUACUGGUCAAGACACUACCCGCUACCCGCACUCACCCCAAAGUCCCGCCCACUGACGCUCGUCUGGACCCGGACUGCCAACUCGUCGGAUGUCUCAGAAGUAGAC